rnacentral:rRNA from 1 species
UACGUAGGGUGCAAGCGUUAAUCGGAAUUACUGGGCGUAAAGCGUGCGCAGGCGGUUCUAUAAGACAGAUGUGAAAUCCCCGGGCUCAACCUGGGAACUGCAUUUGUGACUGCAUCGCUGGAGUGCGGCAGAGGGGGAUGGAAUUCCGCGUGUAGCAGUGAAAUGCGUAGAUAUGCGGAGGAACACCGAUGGCGAAGGCAAUCCCCUGGGCCUGCACUGACGCUCAUGCACGAAAGCGUGGGGAGCAAACAGG